AGGUAAUUUUUGUGUUAGCGGGAUAACGCCGUGUUGAGUGAAGUCAAUUACAGUAAACUUAUAGACCCUAGUAGGGACGACAUUGAAUUCUGUUACACAGCAGUCAGUAGAAGGAGGGAGGUGAGAGAGAUGAGGAGUUGGAACUGCGUGGAAAGACAUUUCAUUCAUGGCCAUUUGGAUGGAUCUCUCCUACGUAGUACUAGGAGAUAUGGAUCUGUAUCCAUUCAUCCUUCCCGUUCGAAGGAAUAUCCCAUUCACACGUCUUCUGAUACUCUCUUCUAUGUCAUACUCUACUAAAGGGAUCUCAACUCUUAAGGCGAGAUCCCUUGGAGUAAGUGCUUCACUCUUUAGAUCUCGUCUCCUUUAAUGGAAGGCUCGUUGAUUGAGCGUGCAAGUGCCUCUUCAUUCCAAGCUCUGUGAUAGUGACUACUGAUUUCCUUAAUCAUUGUCUCUAGACAUAAAUUCCUCCAGAUCUUCUACGGAAUCAUCGUAUACUUCUACAUAUAAGAAAUAAGGAGUUCCAUAAAACGAUAGAAAGACCCGGUGAGGAACAGAGAGAGAGAGAGUUCUCAUCCUCCAUCCACAGCUGCUUCUUAGAAAUCCUUGAAGGUCAACUCUGCUUCGUCUCCUACUCUAAGAAAACUAUUUCAUUAAUAAGAGUCUUUCAGUGCCCUUGAUGUAUUGUAUAUAAUGCAGAAAUCACUCAUCGCAAUCAGAUUUAUAUUAAUUCCAUUUAUAAUUUGGACUUUGUGAUAUACAGUCUAUACGGAUAAUUAUAUAAGGUGGGCACUUCAAUCUCACGCCUGUUUCCUUUAUGUAUAUAAGGCAGAAAUCCCUUCGAAAAAAGUAGAAGUCAAUUUUUGACUCUUAAUGAAUAUGCUGUCUUUUUUCUCGAUACUUUUGUAUGCAAUGUAUAUUAUAUUUUGCUGUUAACUGCAAAAAUAGAUUUGUGAAUUGUUUAAGUGAUAACAAAUUAUAAGUGACCGCUUAACUUAUAUAGUCUUAUAUUGGAAAAUUUUAACGUAAUCACAAUUUCAAAACUUAGUUAGCCUUAAUCAUCUUCUAAAAAACUUAAUUGUUUAUCAUCGUAUUGGAAUAUUACCCCCAUGAAGAUUUAGAAUAUCCACACUAGUAAAGAUUAUUAAUAAAUGUUUCCCAUAACAGUUUCUAUAUUUUAUUAUUAGUUAUUUUAAAAAUACUCAUUAAUAGCAUAGGUACAGACGUUCAAAAUUAGAAGCUAACUAUUUAUCUUUUAAUCGUCCUUUCUUUGAUAUAUACUUAUAUAUAUUAUGAAAAUGUAUUAUUAUUUUAAGAUCUGAAUUAAACACUCUUUUUAGAGUAAAUCCUUUAUUAAACGAAACAAAAUGAAAAUUUAAGAUUUAGAAUAUAACUUCGUAAUUUUUUUUAACUUGCACCAUGUGAAUUUGACCUUUUUUUCCCCAAGUGUAGGGAACUAUUAAUCUCAUUUGAGAUUUUUUGAUAGAUAUAUUAAAAUAUUUAAAUUCAACUUAAGUAAUAUAAUUAGCAAAAUAAUCUUGUUUUUUACACUUCAACCCAAUAGGAAGAUAGGGAUCUCCCGUUUCUAAUAAAUUGACAAAUAGCUUUGUAAAGCAUCGUCUUGGUUUUGUCUAGGUCAAUAAAGAAUAUCGCUGAGAUGGUCGCUGAGAAUAUCAUAUUGUAAAGCUGACUAGGAUGUAACUUAGUUAAAUAUACUAAAUCUGAAGCCCUUUAAAGACCACCCUUACUAAUACUAUCUUGAAAAUUUUCGAUGAGAUCUCAAUCUUCGCCAGAAAAUUCAACACCAUGAGUUUUUGAUUACUCAAGAAUCAAUAAGGGAAUUCGGUAUCUUUAAUUUUGAAAAACUUAAUGGAAGAAGCCAUGUAUCCGGAUAUUUAAAACAAUAAAUUGGCUUGAGAUUCUUCCAUAGUAAAAUCCGAAUUAGAAAAACUAAAAAUAAAUAUAUGUAUUUGCAUCAAUUUGAUCAGUACUGUCAAAUUAUUUGAUGUUUUUACUUUCACAUUCAUUCUUAUUAUUUUGAUUUAAUUUUCUUGAGUUUCUAGUAUAAAUUCAUUUCUUUAUUUAAUAAAAAUAUAUGGCUACAUAAUAUUAACAUAAUGAUAUAUCUUCUCUUAAUCAAAAUAAAUUUAUUGAAAAUGCUCAUAAUUGACUUUAUAUAUCCCUUCUAUACUACAAUAUAGCUACAUAUUACCUAUACUUCUUUCAUCUUCUUCUAUUCCUACUAAGGUAUAGUGUGAAAAUAAGAUGUAACUUAGUUAUAGACUAUAACUAUGUUAACUAUAACUUAUACUUAAGGGUCAUUUGAGUCGCUGAAAUUAAUUCAUAACCUCUUUCAAAGAGACAAGAUACCUGUAGGAAAUGUGUGACUAGAAAGUAUUAUUAACAUUAAUUAUUUUCUUAGCUCUUAUAUUCUUCAAUUCCAGUUAGGAGUCAAGAAAAUAAAAAAAUAGCUAGGACUGAGAGACCGAUGUAUCCUUAGGACCGUUGAAAGAUAAAAAAGAUCGGACUGAUAAAAACAAAAGACUAAAAGGGUCGAGGGGAAAAGACUGAUAAGUCUUUGGACUGAUCCAACACUAAAUUGGUAUGACGUACAUUUGAGUUAUGACGUAUUAUAAUUUUGAAUGAAGAGGUCGUGGCGGCAAUUAUCAUUUAUGUUUGCUAUUAGUAUAAUUAUCAAUUCACUUAUUUAAUUAUGUAAUGUCCAAAAUUGAUAAUAGAAGUCCUUUAUCCAUCUGUGAUUGAAUUAAAUAAUUCAAAUUAGUAUCCAGAAUGGCCAAUAGUUGUGCUACUUUUGCCUUUUUUCCAAGAUAUGGAUGAUAUUUUUCUCUUUUU
rnacentral:lncRNA from 1 species